rnacentral:rRNA from 1 species
UCAAGCUGUAAAGGGCGCAAGGGGAAUGCCUUGGCACUGAGAGCCGAUGAAGGACGCGACAAGCUGCGAUAAGCUACGGGGAGCCGCAAAUGGGCUUUGAUCCGUAGAUUUCCGAAUGGGGAAACCCGGCAGAGCAAUACUCUGUCAACGUACACUGAAUACAUAGGUGUACGUGGGGAACCGCCUGAACUGAAACAUCUAAGUAGGGCGAGGAAGAGAAAUCAACCGAGAUUCCGCUAGUAGUGGCGAGCGAACGCGGAAGAGGCCAAACCGGAGGUAGCAAUAUUUCCGGGGUUAGGACUGCAAUAUGUAACUUUAAUCUUUAACUGAAUGCUUUGGGAAGAGCAGCGAAACAGGGUGAUAGCCCCGUAAGUGAAAGAGAUUGAGUGCUAGCAGUAUCCAGAGUACCAGCGGACACGUGAAACCCGCUGGGAAGAUGGGGGGACCAUCCUCCAAGCCUAAAUACUACUCAGUGACCGAUAGUGGAGCAGUACCGUGAGGGAAAGGUGAAAAGUACCCCGGGAGGGGAGUGAAAGAGAACCUGAAACCUUGUGCCUACAAGCACCGAGAGUCCGUUAAUGGAUGAUCGGGUACUUUUUGUAGAACGGUCCGGCGAGUUAAUAUUUGCAGCGAGGUUAAGUAACUGGAGUUACGGAGCCGUAGCGAGAGCGAGUCUGAAUAGGGCGUAUGAAGUUGCAGGUAUUAGACCCGAAACCGGGUGACCUAUCCAUGAGCAGGCUGAAGCGGUGGUAAGACACCGUGGAGGGCCGCACCCACGUCUGUUGAAAAAGCCGGGGAUGACUUGUGGAUAGCGGAGAAAUUCCAAUCGAACUCGGAGAUAGCUGGUUCUCCCCGAAAUAGCUUUAGGGCUAGCGUUAUUUUAGAUUACCGGAGGUAAAGCACUGAAUGGUCUAGGGGCCGCGAGGUUACCAAAGCCUAUCAAACUCUGAAUGCCGGAUAAUUGAUGAAUAGCAGUCAGACUGUGUGAGAUAAGUCUCAUAGUCAAAAGGGAAACAGCCCAGAUCUACAGCUAAGGUCCCAAAUGAACACUAAGUGGAAAAUGAUGUGAAACUGCGAAGACAACCAGGAUGUUGGCUUAGAAGCAGCCACUCAUUCAAAGAGUGCGUAAUAGCUCACUGGUCGAGUGGUUUUGCGCAGAAAAUGUAACGGGGCUAAGUGUUCAACCGAAGCUUAGGCAUUGUACUUUGUACAUUGGGUAGGGGAGCGUCGUAUGCGGGGCGAAGUCAGAGCGGAAGCACUGGUGGACUGCAUACGAGUGAGAAUGCCGGAAUAAGUAGCGAGAAUUAUGUGAGAAUCAUAAUGGCCGAAAAUCUAAGGUUUCCUGGGGAAGGUUCGUCCGCCCAGGGUUAGUCGGGAGCUAAGCUCAGGCCGAGAGGCGUAGGCGAUGCACAUACGGUAGAAAUUCCGUAACCACCGAACUUUAAGCUAGAGGGACGCUUUCUUUAAGGUUAUCCCGGGCGAUGGUUGCCCCGGGCGUAAGGGACCGAAAUUUAGUAGGGAAGUAACUGGCGAGAGAGACGAGAAAAGCUCUAGUGUAUACUAAGGUGCCCGUACCGCAAACCGACACAGGUAGAAGGGAUGAGUAUUCUAAGGCCAACGGGAGAAGGGUUGUUAAGGAACUCGGCAAAUUGGCCCCGUAACUUCGGGAUAAGGGGCGCCUGCGAGAGCAGGCCGCAGUGAAAAGGCCCAAGCGACUGUUUAGCAAAAACACAGCUCUCUGCUAAAUCGAAAGAUGACGUAUAGGGGGUGACGCCUGCCCGGUGCUGGAAGGUUAAGGGGAGUGCUUAGCGCAAGCGAAGGUGCGAACUUAAGCCCCAGUAAACGGCGGCCGUAACUAUAACGGUCCUAAGGUAGCGAAAUUCCUUGUCAGGUAAGUUCUGACCCGC